rnacentral:rRNA from 1 species
UACGGAGGGUGCAAGCGUUGCUCGGAAUUAUUGGGCGUAAAGGGUAGGUAGGUGGUCUUAUUUGUCUGAGGUGAAAGCCUUGAGCUUAACUCAAGAAGUGCCUCGGAAACGGUGAGACUAGAGUCCUGGAGAGGGUCGUGGAAUUCCCGGUGUAGCGGUGAAAUGCGUAGAGAUCGGGAGGAACACCAGAGGCGAAGGCGGCGACCUGGACAGGCACUGACACUCAACUACGAAAGCGUGGGGAGCAAACAGG